ACCAAACCCAAUCCACUGCUUGAUUUUAUAUAGCUCUUCAGAUUUGAUAUAUGAAUUUUUGCAAUCAUUUUUUUUAGGGAACAUGAAAUUUUAACCCCAAUUAAUCAUAAUGGUAUUCUCCCUGCACAAAAAGAAAUAUACUGAAUUUAAAAAUUGUACUUAGUGGGCUGGGGAUAUAGCUCAGUUGGUAGAGUGCUUGCCUUGCAUGCACAAAGCCCUGGGUUUGAACCCCAGCACCACACACACACAAAAAAAAUUGUACUCAGAGCUUCUGGGUGUAGAAAUCCAAAAUGGCACGGUAAGAGAAGUCAACCUUCAUUCUUCUAUCAGCCAAAAUAAUCCAGAGAGGUUUUAGGGGCCCAUUAAAGAAUCUGCAGUAAUACAACAGAACACAAAAUGGAGAAUAGCUGUAUAAAAGGGUUACUAAUUAAAUUAGCAGAGACACUAGGAGACAGCUAGGAAAAAAUAAUGGUGGAGGCUAUUGGUAUCAACCACAUGGUAAGAACCACUGUCGCUCCCAGUGGCCUCUUUUGUGGAGUACACUCACAUCUCUUGUCCCUGAGGUCACCAUACUAUUCAAAAAGGGAAAUGUAGCUCCAUAGCCUUUCUCUUCCCAAGAAAUGGUCAUUGUUGAACUGCUUUGGGGAAGGAAUCACUCCUCACAAUUUCCAACCUGGAAGUGUGUCCAACCCACAAAUGCCUGCACCCAGAUUUUAUGGCUACACUGGGUCUGCUCACAGUUUGGACACAGGAGUCAUCAUAUAGGAAGGUGGUUUACACUUUGGGCCUGGAGAAAGCUCUCACUAUGCAUUAUCAUGCUCCAGGCUCUAGCUCAGCUGCCAUAAAGAGCUAGACCCCCACCCUGAUACUAGAGGCAUUUGCUAUACCCACUGAUGAACUCCCCAAGAUUUAACAAGAUAAGGGACAGAAAUACUGUAAAAUAAGGAGAUUUCAGAUUUCAGAUGUAGCUGAGUGGUAGACAGCUUACCUAGCUUGUGUGAGGCCCUGGGUUCAUUAAAAAAAAAUUAGAGAACUUUAAUGACCCACUUUCAACAAUAAACAGUUCAUCAAGACAAAAAAAAAAUCAAUAAGAAGCUUUAGACAUGAACUGCCUUUUGGACAAAAUGGACCUUACAAAUAAAUCCAGAAUCCAUCCAAUAAUAGCAACCGUGUAAAGUACACAUUCUCUCGAAUAGUUCAUAUGUUAGGCCACAAAAUAAGUCUUAACAAACUUAAGAAGAUUAAAUCAUAUCAAGUAUCUUUUCAAGCCACAAUAGUAUAACAAUAAUUUUGGAAAAUUCACAAAUAUGUGGAAGUUAAACAACAUGCUCACAAGCAUUUCUUCAAAGAAGAAAUUAAAGGGAAAUUAAAAGUAUUUCAACACAAAUAAAAAAUGAAAACACAGCAUAUCAAAACUUAUGGGACACAGGAAAAGCAAUUUUAAGAGGAAAAUUUAUAGCAAUAAAUGCCUACAUUAAAAAAGAUUCUAAAUAACCUAAUAUCACACCUUAAAGAACUAGAAAAAUAAGGAGCAAAAAAGCCUAAAGUAGGUAGAAGAAAGAAAAUAAUGAAGAUGAGAGCAGAAAUACAUGAAAUAUAGUCCAGAAAAACAAUAGAAAAUAUCAGUGGAAACAAGAGUAGGUUUUUUGGAAAGAUAAACAAAAUCAACACAUCUUUAGCUACACUAAGAAGAAAGAGAAGACUCAAAAUAAAAAGUAAAAAAAGAUACUUUACAAUCAAUACCACAUGAUACAAAAAAGUCCUAAGAGACUACUAUGAUUUAUACACUAACAAAUUGGAUAAACUAGAAGAGAGAAAUUCCUAGAUACAACCUGCCAAGACAAAAUAAUGAAGAAAUAGAAAAUCUGAACAGACCAAUAAUGAGCAUGCAGAUUGAAAUAGUUAUAAAAAAGUCACCCAUCAAAGAAAAGCCCAGGGCCUGAUGACUUCAUUGCUGAAUUCUAAUAGAUACUUAAGAGAAAAAAACCAAUCCUCCUCAAACUUUUCCAAAGAAGUCAAAUAAAGGGGAAAAUGACAAAAAUCAUUUUGUAAAGCAAACUAGACAAGGAUACCAAAAGAAAAGGAAAUUGCAGGCUGAUAUCCCUGAUUCACAUAGUUGCAACAAUCCUCAAUGAAAUACUGGCAAACCAAAUUCAACAGCCUAUUAAAAAGUUCAUUUACCAUGAUUAGGUGGAAUUUAUCAUUGGCAUGCAAGUAUGGUUUAACAUAUGCAAAUCAAUAUAUGUGAUACACCACAGUAAGAGAAUGAAAGUCAAAAACUAUCUGAUUAUAUCAACAGAUGAUGAAAAGAUAUUCAACAAAAUUCAAUGUCUUAUGAUUAAAAAGAAAACCUCUCAACAAUUUAGAUAUAAAGGAAAUGUAGCUCAGCCCAUAAAGGCCAUAUAUGACAAGCCCAGAGCUAAGAUCAUAUUCAACUGUGAAAAUUUGAAUGUUUUCCCUCUAAGAUCAGGGACAUGACAAGGAUGUCCAGUCUCACCACUUCUUUUCACCAUAGCACUAGGAAUCCUAGCCUGACAAAUUAGGCAAGAGAAAAAAAUUAAAGAUAUCUAAAUUUAAAAUGAAGCUGAAUUAUCUCUGAUCUUAUAUUUAGAAAUUACUGAAGACUCCAUAAAAGCAAAACAAAACAAAAAAACAACUGUUUGAAUUAGUAAAUGAAUUAAGUUGGAGGGCACAAAAUCAACUUGCAAAAAUCAGUAGCAUUUCUAUGAAAUUAGGAGCCGUGUACAGAGGCAUACACCUGUAAUCCCAGCUAUUCAGGAGACUGAAGCAGGAGGAUUGCAAGUUCAAGAUUAGCCAUGGAAACAACAAGACCUUGUCUCUCAAAAUAGAAAACUAAUUUUAAAAAGGUCUGGGGAUAUAACUCAGUGGUAGAGUGCCCCUAGGUUCAAUCUUCAGUUCUCCACACCAAUUGUACUAAUUUAUGACUAGCAUAUUUUUAAUUAUGAAAAUGUGUUUUCUAAGUGAAAUUUACAGAGACAGUAAGUAGAAUGGUAGUUGCUAUAACAGUUAUGGUUUAAUGGAAAAGUCUGUGGGGUGUUGAAAGGUUCUAGAUAGUGGUGUUGAGGAUCAUAAAGUAAGGUGAAUAUACUUGAUGCCCCUGAACAAUACACUUAAAAUGCCUACAAUUGUAGGUUUCAUGUGCAUACACAACCAUAAUAAUAACAACAAAAAAGCAUUAUGGACAUUAAAUCAGUGGCACGGAUCAGAAGUAGAGGUAAGGCUCAGGAACGGGCACCAUUCACACUGUUAGUACAUUCGUAAACUUAUAUACCCUCUUUCAAAGACAGAGCCUCAGAUAGAGGUUCUAAAGAGUGAUCUCUCAGCAUUUUAAGAAAAUAUCACAGCACAUGUUCAGGAAAAUGGCAAAUGAUCUGGGGCCAAAGUGAUGGAAGAGCCACACUGUUCUGGGGAAAUCAAUGAGGGGCCGCAGAAGCCAUGGCCCAGAGCAGUCAGGUAUGAGCAACUUCAAGGAGGUACAUUCUUCCAUGCUGGGAGAGAAUAUAUCAAGCUGGUGUGGUUGGGGUGGUGCCUUGUUCCAUAUGCACUAAUGGGCCCUUUGCCACAUGGCAUAAGACGUGGAGGCCAGCUUGCACAGGCCCAUGGAAGUAACACAUGGGAUGGACAGUGCGGGCCUGAGCGCUACAGUUUAGAACUUGAAUGCCCCUUAAAAGCACAUGUGUUAAAGGUUUGGUCCCUAGAGUAGCACUACUGCAGAAUGGUGGAAGCUUUAGGUGGUGGGGUCUAGGGGGAGACCCUUAGGUCAUCUGAGGUGUGCCUCAAAGGGGAUUGUGGGACCCCAGUCUCUUUCUCUUUCUCUUUGCCCCUUGGCUUGUGAUGUAAGUAGUUAUGCUCCCACUAUGAUGGGCUGCCUUACCAUCAGCCCAAAAUAAAGCACGAAUUAUGGACUAGAACCUAUUAAACUGUGAGCCAAAAUCAAUCUUUCUUCUUUAUAUGGCAAUUAUCUCAGGUGUUUUGUUAUAGUGAUGGAAAGCUAACACACUGAGGAGGGUGAACUGUUGGCACAUAUCAAGGCAUGAAGACUGUAUACCAUACCCUCAAUCCAUUCUUUGUCUUAAAAUAAACUUUAAGCUACUCCACUUCUUUGACACCAAUCAUUCUGCCCCACCACACCUUGAAGGACAGCAGCCCAUUAGCUACAGGACCAACAUGCUGGAUUGACAUUGUUUAUAUGCUUGCCUAUCUCCCUUACAGACUGAGUCUGUUGCAGUAGUCAAGGCUGCUUUUUCCUGAGAUGGAGGGACAAAAGCAUACGAGGAUGCUGUAGAAGGUGCAAACCCAGUGUUCAGAGGAUAUCAUUUCUUUCUUCUAUGACAUUCAAACCCUGAGGCUCUUAGCCAGUCAUUUCCAAGGGCAAGCUCCAAAGACAUCAUGAUGAUGGCCAAGAGCUAGGACUGGCCCAUCUCAGGGCUCAGCUCAGCAGACCUGGUACUACCAGGGGCAAAGGGGCUCCUUGGAGCUGGGUGCGCAGUAACUUAGCUGCUGCAUUACUUGGUAGCAACACAAAUUAGUUAGAGUAGGCUUCUCUCAGCUGCUGCCAGAGUCCAACAGGAAACCCAGCAUAGGAGAGACCCAGGAAGAGCCUCCUAAAAAUCCCCAGAAGAGAACCCAGGUGAAUAUUUACCUUAGAAGCUGGCUCUAGUGCUCCUCUCAGGGCUGAGAAAGAGUCAUAUUUGACUUCAGAAAUGGUUGGGGGGAACUGAACCAAAGACAAGUGCCAGUAAGCCAGUAAGUGGCUGAGCAAUGGGCCAGGGAGGUGACCCUGAUCAGGGAAGAGGCAAAAACCAGAGAAGAGCUACAAUACUCAAGUUUCUAGUUGCAUUGAGGGAAUCAAAUUUCUUCUCUGGGUUCCUAAGGACCCAGAUGUGGGGUGUGUGUAUGUGUGUUUGUGUGAGGUGGGGGGGGGGAGAAAGAGAAAGAAAGAAUAUGAAUAUGAAUGAGAAUAUGGGAGAAGUUUCAUUUCUCUGCAUGGAUGCAAGAACCCAGAGGCCAGAGGCUGAGGGCACAUCAUCUCCCUGCCCUCCCCAUAAUUACCAGAAAUUGUAGGUUUAACCCAGAUGCCUCUUAGAAAGUUCAGGAAGCAAGGUGGUUGGCCCCGGCAUUGGUGGGUUUAAACACCAAGCCAGAUUAUUCAGUGUAAAGAAGAGCUGAGGGGGGCUG
rnacentral:lncRNA from 1 species